AGACCCGAAACCCGGUGAUCUAGCCAUGGGCAGGUUGAAGGUUGGGUAACACUAACUGGAGGACCGAACCGACUAAUGUUGAAAAAUUAGCGGAUGACCUGUGGCUGGGGGUGAAAGGCCAAUCAAACCGGGAGAUAGCUGGUUCUCCCCGAAAGCUAUUUAGGUAGCGCCUCGUGAAUUCAUCUCCGGGGGUAGAGCACUGUUUCGGCUAGGGGGCCAUCCCGGCUUACCAACCCGAUGCAAACUGCGAAUACCGGAGAAUGUUAUCACGGGAGACACACGGCGGGUGCUAACGUCCGUCGUGAAGAGGGAAACAACCCAGACCGCCAGCUAAGGUCCCAAAGUCAUGGUUAAGUGGGAAACGAUGUGGGAAGGCCCAGACAGCCAGGAUGUUGGCUUAGAAGCAGCCAUCAUUUAAAGAAAGCGUAAUAGCUCACUGGUCGAGUCGGCCUGCGCGGAAGAUGUAACGGGGCUAAACCAUGCACCGAAGCUGCGGCAGCGAACGUAUCACCCAAGACAACUUUACGGAGUUGACGAUUGACGGAGCGAAGCGACGUCAAAGCGUUCAUUAAAGUCGAGUUGGCUUAGGGAUACGUUCGUUGGGUAGGGGAGCGUUCUGUAAGCCUGUGAAGGUGUGUCGUGAGGCAUGCUGGAGGUAUCAGAAGUGCGAAUGCUGACAUAAGUAACGAUAAAGCGGGUGAAAAGCCCGCUCGCCGGAAGACCAAGGGUUCCUGUCCAACGUUAAUCGGGGCAGGGUGAGUCGACCCCUAAGGCGAGGCCGAAAGGCGUAGUCGAUGGGAAACGGGUUAAUAUUCCCGUACUUGGUGUUACUGCGAAGGGGGGACGGAGAAGGCUAUGUUGGCCGGGCGACGGUUGUCCCGGUUUAAGCGUGUAGGUGUGUGUUCCAGGUAAAUCCGGUUCACUUUAACACUGAGGCGUGACGACGAGGCACUACGGUGCUGAAGCAACAAAUGCCCUGCUUCCAGGAAAAGCCUCUAAGCAUCAGGUAACAUCAAAUCGUACCCCAAACCGACACAGGUGGUCAGGUAGAGAAUACCAAGGCGCUUGAGAGAACUCGGGUGAAGGAACUAGGCAAAAUGGUGCCGUAACUUCGGGAGAAGGCACGCUGACACGUAGGUGAAGUGAUUUACUCAUGGAGCUGAAGUCAGUCGAAGAUACCAGCUGGCUGCAACUGUUUAUUAAAAACACAGCACUGUGCAAACACGAAAGUGGACGUAUACGGUGUGACGCCUGCCCGGUGCCGGAAGGUUAAUUGAUGGGGUCAGCGCAAGCGAAGCUCCUGAUCGAAGCCCCGGUAAACGGCGGCCGUAACUAUAACGGUCCUAAGGUAGCGAAAUUCCUUGUCGGGUAAGUUCCGACCUGCACGAAUGGCGUAAUGAUGGCCAGGCUGUCUCCACCCGAGACUCAGUGAAAUUGAACUCGCUGUGAAGAUGCAGUGUACCCGCGGCAAGACGGAAAGACCCCGUGAACCUUUACUAUAGCUUGACACUGAACAUUGAGCCUUGAUGUGUAGGAUAGGUGGGAGGCUUUGAAGUGUGGACGCCAGUCUGCAUGGAGCCGACCUUGAAAUACCACCCUUUAAUGUUUGAUGUUCUAACGUGGACCCGUAAUCCGGGUUGCGGACAGUGUCUGGUGGGUAGUUUGACUGGGGCGGUCUCCUCCUAAAGAGUAACGGAGGAGCACGAAGGUUGGCUAAUCCUGGUCGGACAUCAGGAGGUUAGUGCAAUGGCAUAAGCCAGCUUGACUGCGAGCGUGACGGCGCGAGCAGGUGCGAAAGCAGGUCAUAGUGAUCCGGUGGUUCUGAAUGGAAGGGCCAUCGCUCAACGGAUAAAAGGUACUCCGGGGAUAACAGGCUGAUACCGCCCAAGAGUUCAUAUCGACGGCGGUGUUUGGCACCUCGAUGUCGGCUCAUCACAUCCUGGGGCUGAAGUAGGUCCCAAGGGUAUGGCUGUUCGCCAUUUAAAGUGGUACGCGAGCUGGGUUUAGAACGUCGUGAGACAGUUCGGUCCCUAUCUGCCGUGGGCGCUGGAGAACUGAGGGGGGCUGCUCCUAGUACGAGAGGACCGGAGUGGACGCAUCACUGGUGUUCGGGUUGUCAUGCCAAUGGCACUGCCCGGUAGCUAAAUGCGGAAGAGAUAAGUGCUGAAAGCAUCUAAGCACGAAACUUGCCCCGAGAUGAGUUCUCCCUGAGACUUAGAGUCUCCUGAAGGAACGUUGAAGACGACGACGUUGAUAGGCCGGGUGUGUAAGCGCAGCGAUGCGUUGAGCUAACCGGUACUAAUGAACCGUGAGGCUUAACCUUACA
rnacentral:rRNA from 4 species